GCUCGGGCCGGGAGCCGGAGGCAGAGGAGGGCGCGGCGCCCCGCGGAGUUGCUGGCAGGGCUGGCGCAGAGCCGGGCCCCCGCGUCCCGCGCGGUGAGCCGCCGAGACAAUAAAGUAGCGGUCGGCAGCCCCCGAGCGCCCGAGGGAGGCGGCGGCGCGGCAGGCUUGGAUGAGAAAUCCAGAAGAAAGAAUGUGUGAAAGAAAAAGAUGACAUCUGUGCAUGGCAAAACAAAUCCAAAGAUUAUUACAAUAAAAACAAACCGAGGUCAAGAGAACA
rnacentral:lncRNA from 1 species